rnacentral:rRNA from 1 species
AGCAGCCGCGGUAAUUCCAGCUCCAAUAGCGUAUAUUAAAGUUGUUGCAGUUAAAAAGCUCGUAGUUGAAUUUUGAAUUCCACCAAUGGGUCCAUCUUUUGAUGAGUACUGGUUGUGUGGGGUCUAUCCGCCUGGUGAUACGUAAUGUCCUUUAUUGGAUGUUGCGGGUAGUCAGGACCUUUAACCUUGAAAAAUUAGAGUGUUUAAAGCAGGCUUAUGCCGGAAUACAUUAGCAUGGAAUAAUAGAAUAGGACGAAGUUGUUUUAUUUUGUUGGUUUCUAGGACAACCGUAAUGAUUAAUAGGGAUAGUUGGGGGCAUUAGUAUUCAAUUGUCAGAGGUGAAAUUCUUGGAUUUAUUGAAGACUAACUACUGCGAAAGCAUUUGCCAAGGAUGUUUUCAUUAAUCAAGAACGAAAGUUAGGGGAUCGAAGACGAUCAGAUACCGUCGUA